GGGCUGCUUUCCGGCAGGCGUUGGAGAGACCGCUUUCCGGCGGCGCCGGGCGAGAAGCGCGAGUGGGGUCUGGGGCUGCGGCUUCCCAGAGGCGCGAAUCGCUUUUCGAGGAGCCGAGGCACGAACGGGGCCGGGCCUGAGGGGCCCCUCACCAGCCCGCGGCCGUGCCAUCAAUCACCGCCGACUCGUCCCGCUUCUCGGCUGAGGCGCCGCGCGGCCGGGCAGCGGGUCCAGGCCUCAGCCGCGCGCCCAGGGGCCUCGGGGCCCUCCCGGGUCAGCAUGCCCGGGGUGAAGCUGACCACCCAGGCCUACUGCAAGAUGGUGCUGCACGGCGCCAAGUACCCGCACUGCGCCGUCAACGGGCUCCUGGUGGCCGAGAAGCAGAAGCCGCGUAAGGAGCACCUCCCCCUGGGCGGCCCGGGCGCCCACCACACCCUCUUCGUGGACUGCAUCCCCCUCUUCCACGGCACCCUGGCCCUCGCCCCCAUGCUGGAGGUGGCCCUCACCCUGAUUGAUUCAUGGUGCAAAGAUCAUAGCUACGUGAUUGCUGGUUAUUAUCAAGCUAAUGAGCGAGUGAAGGAUGCCAGUCCAAACCAGGUUGCAGAGAAGGUGGCCUCCAGAAUCGCCGAGGGCUUCAGCGACACUGCACUCAUCAUGACAACACCAAGUUUACGAUGGACUGCGUAGCGCCUACGAUCCACGUGUACGAGCACCAUGAGAACAGAUGGCGGUGCAGAGACCCACACCAUGACUACUGUGAAGACUGGCCGGAGGCACAGAGGAUCUCAGCCUCACUCCUGGACAGCCGGUCCUACGAGACGCUUGUGGAUUUCGAUAACCACCUGGAUGACAUUCGGAAUGACUGGACAAACCCAGAGAUCAAUAAAGCUGUCCUGCACCUGUGCUAGGCAGGCACCGCCAUGACUGGGCUCCAGGCCUUUCCACUACGUUGAAGAAGAAAACCUAUUUUUAAAUGUAAAUAAAAUAUCUUGUAGCCUGUGUGGAAAGCUGACCGUUUUAAGAAGUGGCAUGUGCCUUGAAAGGGGGCAGAAUGUUCAGUCGGUCGUGUUUUUAACAGAGUCUCUAGAAGAGGUGCAGACAUCCCAUCUGACUGUCCCUGUGGACUCUCUCAGUUGUAUGUUGCUAUAAUCCUCCAAAUCAAAGCUCUUUCUGCUUGUGCAAGAUUGUUCCUAUUAAACAGUUUUAACUAACCUUUUAUAAUCUGGAGAGAAUACUUUUUAAGGCUUUUGAACUAUCUUUUUUUAAAAAAAAAAGCCCACAUCUUAUACUCCAAUGAAUGUGUUUGUGAGUUUUUAUCCUGUUUGAAUUUUGAUGUCCAGGCGUCCUGGGAUCAGGGUAGGCACGUGGAGUGCCGGUGCUGAGCUGUUUGAGAAGCUCUGUGUGGGUGUUUCUGUCGUCAGGCUGGGCUGUGAACAGCACUGUUCCACGUGGUGUCGGCUCACAGAGGCGCUGCAGCUCUGCACAGUGGGAGUGACACCACUGAUGCCACAGAAGCCUUUCUCCUUAGGGGCAAAAGCAAACAUCGCUGGUAACAGGAGCUCAGGGUGGUACUCUUCCGCCACCCAGAAAGCUCACAUGCCUGCAGGGCCAGGAAAGGGAAAUGAUCAUUUCUUUUGUAUUAGGAAAACAAGACUUAGACUUCCCGAGUUGUACAGAGUGACGUCUGUACUUUUUAUACUUACAACAUUUGGUCAAGUUUUCUAACCAAACCUUAGGAAACUGAGAGGGAAGCUUUGUGGUACCUUUACCUUUUUUCCGUUUUAUAUGAAUUAUUUUGUACAAAGUUCAGAGAGCGGUACCUUUCCUACUGUCUUGUCUUCGACUCCAUGGAGGAAUUUGUAACAAUCAGUGUGACCUACUGAAAGGGUUUGUGAUACAGCAGUCACUAUUUUCUCUUAACACAUAGGAAAAAAGUUCAGACAUCGCUACAAUAAAUGUGCUUUAUUGGAUCCACCAAA